rnacentral:rRNA from 1 species
AGAGUUUGAUCAUGGCUCAGAGUGAACGCUGGCGGUAGGCCUAACACAUGCAAGUCGAACGGCAGCACAGAGGAGCUUGCUCCUUGGGUGGCGAGUGGCGGACGGGUGAGGAAUACAUCGGAAUCUACUCUGUCGUGGGGGAUAACGUAGGGAAACUUACGCUAAUACCGCAUACGACCUACGGGUGAAAGCAGGGGAUCUUCGGACCUUGCGCGAUUGAAUGAGCCGAUGUCGGAUUAGCUAGUUGGCGGGGUAAAGGCCCACCAAGGCGACGAUCCGUAGCUGGUCUGAGAGGAUGAUCAGCCACACUGGAACUGAGACACGGUCCAGACUCCUACGGGAGGCAGC